rnacentral:rRNA from 1 species
UACGGAGGGUGCGAGCGUUGUCCGGAUUUACUGGGCGUAAAGAGCGCGCAGGCGGUCGAUCAAGUCGCGUGUGAAAGCCCCCGGCUCAACUGGGGAGGGUCACGCGAUACUGAUCGACUCGAAGGCAGGAGAGGGUAGUGGAGUUCCCGGUGUAGUGGUGAAAUGCGUAGAUAUCGGGAGGAACACCAGUGGCGAAGGCGACUACCUGGCCUGUUCUUGACGCUGAGGCGCGAAAGCUAGGGGAGCAAACGGG